UUGCUACAUGCAGCCAUGGUGCUACAUUUGCUAGCUCUGGUAAAACUGAAACUCUUAGCCACAGCAUCUCAAAGUGCUUUCAAUCCAUUGUUCCCUUGCUUGGCAUACCCCUUUGUGCUUAAACUUUGCAUGUGCUUGAGAUGCGAUCUUCGUGGAUUCCAUGCAAGUACUGCACAAUCGUUGAGGUUCUUCUUGUAUCGUUUAGGUUGUAUAAUUUUUCGCCCAAGACAAGUGGGAGAAGAUGGUAGGCUGAGGAGAGUUCUCCGACUAGUCGAGGAAAUGAUCGAUCGUGCAACAACAGUAGUGGAUUCGCACUUGUCGUCAGAUUAUGAAGAUAGCUUGCGUGCUCUUGCGAUACUAGUAGUUUGAUGUUUCAGCGAUCAUUUAAAUUUUAUAUCAUCUGGACCCCGAUCGCAUAACAUGUACCGUCAAAUAUUUAAAAAGGAAAAAGAAGUUAAGCGUAUGGGAUAAAAUUAUAAAAAUGUAAUUCAGUUUAUUUUAGUCAAAAUGUUCCUUUUUGAUUAAUUUUACGCUCGAUCACAUUUCAUUCAACUAUUUUUAUUUCGUGGAACUGCUCACAUCUUCAAAAUCAUUGUAACGGUCUAUUAUGUGUGUUCCAGUGAUUCUGCAAUAAUCUAUCCAUGUGAACACAGUUUGUCACCAUUUAAAUUAACGCUUGCCAUAGGCUGGGUCCGUGGUGUGACUCACGACUCUAGCCAAUAUCCGAUGAGCACCCCUGUUUGCUUGAUCUGUAACAUGAUUUAGAGAUAGAUCAGCUCGAUUUGCCAACAUCUUCUUACACUCAUCAAUAAUGUGCCCAACUUCUACUUGAUAAUCGUCCUCAGAUUUUAAAGCCUGGACCACCGACUGUGCAUCACUUUCAAUCACUAUAUUGUGUAAUCAUUAUUUUUUUUCCUACGAACCAGCAGUGCUAUCUUUCAUGUGUGCACUGUCUAAACUCACGAGCUCACUUAAUAGCCUGCACAGCUAUUAUCUCAUAACCUGUAGACUACAUGUCAAAUAUGUAAUCAAUAGGAUAUAAAUCACCUCUUUUAACCGGCUCAACCAAACCGUGCGGGCGUACCAAUGUUGUUCUUGUGAUUUUGCAAUAAUCUAUCUCUGUGAACAACAUAGUUUGUCUCGUUUAAAUCAACGCUUCGUGUCGUGAGUCUUACACAUAGUUUAAAUGAAUGAAAGUCUUCUUCCUUCGGUAAAAAAAAAAAAAAAACAACCAAACGGGUGUGCGCAUUUUGUGAUAAAAUGAUUUUAUAUUUACAUAAUCGGUGCUCACGUUUUAUUUAUGACCAAAGCACCUCCUUUUUUAUAUCUAAAUUAGUUGACUACCAGAUUAUCACUACUCUGUAAUAACUUUUUCUCAUUAAAAUGAUGUGCUUUUAAUAUUUGGUUUGAGUGAAUUUUUAUUUCAUAAAUUAAAAAGGCAGAAUCAAUUUAAAUAAAGUAGAAACAAUUACAAAUAUAAACUGACUAUAGACGCAGAAAUAUUAAUAGUUCAUAGACCUUUAAAUUAAUUUUAAUAUUCACGUGUUAACAAUUUUACCACGCCAUCUAAAUUUUGACAUCUGUUAGAAUAUCAGUUAACGAAAAGAUUCAAAUAAAGUAAAAACGUGUGUAACCAGGAUAUAAAAAUUUUUAUCUUUAAGUAUCCAGAUAAUUACAAAAUACCAACAAUUUAGCGACAUUUAAAUUAUUUUUUCUUAUAUUAAUAGUCCUAAACCCAAAUCAUCCGUACAGUUUUAACUUUAACUCAGAUAUUAAGAUGUCGGUGAUCAAGUAGUUUUGUAAGUUCCUUUAAAAAAAGUAGUUUUGUAAAUAAUUUUUAAAAAUAUUUUGAUUAUAAACAAAUUUUUGAUACUAAAAGUUUCAUGUAAAAUCAUUUAUAAAUUAUAUUUUAACAAUAAAGUGAAAGUCCUUACAAUUAUGGUUCAUGAAUCAUGAUCAUCAAAAAUAUCAACAUCGCUAUUAUGCUUUCUCAAUAAAUUAGCUUAACAUAUCCUGUCAGGUACAUUUCUCAUCUUUCAGCAGAGGUAGGUUUCAUAAUAUUAAUCGUGUACUGUUUGAUAUUAAUGUUUUUGUCACUUUUCGGUAGAUGUAUGUUUCAUAAUAUUAUUUGUUUACGGUUUGAUACUAAUGUUUCAACAGGAACAUAAGCGGAUUUAGGAUUUAAACUGUAUGGAUAUCAAACAAAUUUUCGAAAAAUUUAUAGAAAAGGUCCUCCAUUUUUCUAAAACAGCUUUUACGUGUUAUCAAAUCUUAAUGCAAAAAUAUGAGUUUAUUUAUGUUAUAUCUUAAUAUAUGUAUUAAAUAUAUUAUUACUUUGUGCAGCAAUAAUUUUAAACAGCACUCUAAAAUAACCCACUUCUCUAUUUGUGCUCCCUCCCAUUGUUAAUUUCGGAACAGUACCAAGAGUAUUUCUAUCGCUGUCGACUAUAAUGAUAGGAUAAAUUGGACCACAUUAUGCGGGUAUUUGAUCGGGUUUUUAAGUCCGGCUUGUGAAUUUAUAAGUUAGAAAUACUUAUUGUACUAUUUGUAUAAAAACUCAAGAAGCAUUUAUAAUAAGUUGAGAAUGCUAGCUUUUGUUUCAUGAUUCCACUUUUGUCCUAAACAUUUUAAUUACUCAUAAGUCUUAACUCGUUUUUAACUUCUAUUUCACUUUUUUACUUUAAGUAAGAAGUACUUAAUUUAAGCUCAGCCCAACGGCACUAUGUAAAAAUAUGAUGAAUAUUUGAGAUAUUGUACUUCGAUACUAUAUCAGUUGGCUAUAAUUUAAAACAGUAUGUUUUUAGUAUUUUAGAUUGUUAUAAAUAAAAUAUAUCAUUUUAAUAAAAUAAUAAAUGAUGUGUAAUUUUCCUAUAAAUUCUUUACACUCUGUAGAGAUUCAACAAAUAUAGACAUCUAUGGAAACUUGGCUAUAAUUGAAAAUAAGGAGAGAGGUUGGAGUGUGAUAUUUUCAACAUAUUAUCUACAUUUUUUAUUUUUGAUAAUGUCCAACUCAUUUUUUAAUUAAGAAUUUUUAAUGGUUGAAAUUGCUCUAACACCGGUAUUAUAUAAUUGCAUUCCAACAUAAAAUCCUGCUCAAAUUUGCUUGCUAAAUGUAGCCAUGGUGUUCCAUUUGCUAGCUCUGGUAAAACUGAAACUCUUAGCCACUGCAUCUCAAAGUGCUUUCAAUCCAUUGUUCCCUUGCUUGGCAGUCCCCUUUGUGCUUAAACUUUGCAUGUGCUUGAGAUGCGAUCUUCGUGGAUUUCAUGCAAGUACUGCGCAAUCGUUGAGGUUCUUCUUGUAUCGUUUAAGUUGUAUAAUUUUUCGCCCAAGGCAAGAGGAAGAAGAUCUUGGAAAUGCAGGCAGGUGGAGGAGAGUGCAACAACAGUAGUGGAUUCGCGGGUGCCGUCAGAUUAUGAAGAUAUCUUGGUUGUCGUCAGAUUAUGAAGAUAGUUUGCGUGUUAUUGCCAUACUAGCAGUUUGAUGUUGCAGCGUUCGUUUAAACUUUAUACCGAUCAUCUUUUGAUCUGAUGGUAUGAUGGUACUGGACUCGCUGAAUAUGUGUUUAAAUAUUUUUAAAAUAAAUAUUAGUAAAUAUGUGCCUUUUUAUUGAUGUAUGCUUGUUCGUAUUUUAUUCCAUAAAAUUUUCUUUUGUAGAACUGCUCACACUUUAUUUGGAUUUAGCAAACAGUUUGCCAUUGUAAUAUCGUAUCUUCGAUAAUCAAUCUUAUUUUGUGAGAGCUUUGAUCGACCGGUAAUCACCAAGAAAAAUGUACGAGAAAAGAGACGGUUGUCACUUUUCCAUCCCGACGAAAGAAAGUUUCCAUUUUUUCUUGCUUUAAUCCUCAAAAGAUAAGGUUCAAUAAUAUUGUAUUGUACAUCAAUUGUCUCUUUGCUAUUGUGCAUACCUAAUAAUUACAACCUUCAAUAAUUCCAUUUCAUCAUAAAAUCCUCCUCAUUUAUGCCUGCUAAACCGAGGUAGCUAUGGUGUUACAUUUGCUAGCCCUAGUGAAACUCAAGCUUUUAGCCACCGCAUCUCAUUCUGCUUUUACUCCACUGGUUCCUUGCCUGGCAUAUCCAUUUGUGCUUAAACUUUGCAAUAGUUUGAGAUUUGGUUUACCUCAGUCUCGUGCAAGUGUUGCGCAGUUUUCAGGUUUGUUCUUGUUUCGUUUAGGUCGUAUAAUUUUUCAUGGAAGACGCGAGGAAGCUUUGGGGAAUGCAGGUAGAUGGAGGAGAGCUCUCCGGCUAAUCGAUGAAAUGAUCAGCCGUGCAACACUGCAAGCCGGUUCGCAGGGCUCAUCGGGUUAUGGACAUAGCUUGAAUGGCAUUGCAGUGAUGGCAGUAUGAUGUUUAAGUAACAAUCAAAUAUCAAACACAUGAGUAAGGAUCUCAUCUCCGGUAUUUAGCAAAACACACAAUUUAUAUUAGCCAUUGUAAUUUUAAUUAUUCUGCUCUUAGAGGUCAU
rnacentral:lncRNA from 1 species